GUGAGGAAUAUUGGACAAUGGGCGCAAGCCUGAUCCAGCCAUGCCGCGUGCAGGAAGACGCAUCUAUGGUGUGUAAACUGCUUUUGUACGGGAAGAAACACUCCCUCGUGAGGGAGCUUGACGGUACCGUAAGAAUAAGGAUCGGCUAACUCCGUGCCAGCAGCCGCGGUAAUACGGAGGAUCCAAGCGUUAUCCGGAAUCAUUGGGUUUAAAGGGUCCGUAGGCGGUUUAAUAAGUCAGUGGUGAAAGCCCAUCGCUCAACGAUGGAACGGCCAUUGAUACUGUUAGACUUGAAUUACAAGGAAGCAACUAGAAUAUGUAGUGUAGCGGUGAAAUGCUUAGAUAUUACAUGGAAUACCAAUUGCGAAGGCAGGUUACUACUUGUGGAUUGACGCUGAUGGACGAAAGCGUGGGGAGCGAACAGGAUUAGAAACCCGGGUAAUCC
rnacentral:rRNA from 1 species